rnacentral:rRNA from 1 species
CUCCUACGGGGGGCAGCAGGGAAUAUUGCGCAGUGGAGGAAACUCUGACGCAGUGACGCCGCGUGCAGGAAGAAGGUUUUCGGAUUGUAAACUGCUUUAGACAGGGAAGAAACAAGACAGUACCUGUAGAAUAAGCUCCGGCUAACUACGUGCCAGCAGCCGCGGUAAUACGUAGGGAGCAAGCGUUAUCCGGAUUUAUUGGGUGUAAAGGGUGCGUAGACGGGAAGGCAAGUUGGUUGUGAAAUCCCUCGGCUUAACUGAGGAACUGCAACCAAAACUAUCUUUCUUGAGUGCUGGAGAGGAAA